AUGGAUGUCAGUCAUGUUUCUGAAUGCUUCACAUACCCCAGGCAGCAGAAACCUUUGGGCUGCUGUUGCUUCCACACGGGGUUGCUGCCAAGACCUGGCACCAGUGCACCUGAUGCGCUUUUUCUCAUUCACACAUGUGGCCUGUCCUCAGUAUCUCUGCAGGAAGAUGGUUCACUGUCUGGGCUCAGGAAAGAGAUUCCAAUCCACACUUUUAUAUCUCCAACUUACAGCCUUUUGCCUCAUCCUCACUUGCCCAAUCAUUGUCCCCAAACUGAGGAAGGGGGAGCCCAUUUCAGCAUCUCCAGCCUGGCUGAAGGCAGUGUUACCUCUGUUGGAAGUGUGAAUCCUGCCGAAAACUUCCAUGUUCUAGUGAAACGGAAGAAUGCCAGCUUUGAGGAAGCAAGUGACCAGGUCAUAAAUCACACCAAACAGUUUUUGGAUACUAAUGAAACGACAUAUUUUAUGAAGAGCAUGGACUGCAUCAGAGCCUUCCAGGAAGAAGCCAUUAAGCUUUCAGAAGAGUAGCGCUUUAACAGCUUCCUGUAAGCCCUUCGAGAGAAAGUGGAAAUUAAACAAUUAAAUCAUUUCUGGGAAAUUGUUGUUCAGCAUGAAAUUACUCUGAUCACCAAAGAGGAAGCCUCUGGAAGUUCUGUCACAGCUGAGGAAGCCAAAGGUUUCUGGCUUCCAAAGAAAAAACAAGUGAAGAUACAGCAGACAUAUUUGAAGAAGGUGGUGAUGUGGACGAUUUAUUGGAAAUGAUACGGGUCAUGGAUGUGUGGAGAAUAUAAGACAGCUGCCGUCGCUGUGAUGCUGGGAGUUCUAACAAAACAAGUUGGAGGUGGCCAUUCAAGGGGAGCCAGAAGCCCUGGAGAAAUUCCCAGCAGGUUACCAGGAGGCGGAUCACCUAAUUCUCUGUGGAAUGAAUACACACAUAUAUAUUACAAGGGAUAAUUUAGACCCCAUACAAGUUUAUAAAGAGUCAUUGUUAAAAAAA